rnacentral:lncRNA from 1 species
CCUGUAGCUUCUGGUAGUAAUAGUAAUGACCCAAUAACACAUGUUUCUGAAUCAUCGCCUAAUUUGCAAGAUGUAGAUAUUGAUUAUGAACAAUUACCAGAAGAUUACGGAAUAGAAGAUAAUGAAAUUGGAAUAGUAGAUGAGAUACCACCUACACCUAGUAGUGGAAAUGUUGGUAGUAUUGGAGUUGGAGUUGCUAGNNN